ACACUUUCCCAUAGACGCUGCCUGGCCUGCUGCACAGUCACAUUAACCUGAUUGGAUUCUGAAUUCCGUGGCUCCUUGCGGAGAAAGUCCGCUUCUGAUUUACUGAGAAGGCGAAUUCCUUCUUCCUUAUCAGUAAACACUCAUUGUUAAAUAUUAACCGCAAUUUCAAUAUGUUCAAUGCCUUAAUGGCUAAAAAAUAGCCCAGGGCACUUUGUAGGGUAAUGGUUAGUUAAGAUAAGUGAGCCCAUCUGUGGGAAAUGCGAUGGAGCAGGUGCUGGUCAGUGAAGAAGGUUUACAGAAGGGAGGGAACUUCAGAAUUUAGAUCACCUAUUGUCACCAGUAACACGAUAGAUCCUGCAGAUGCUGAGAAUCCAGGAUUACACACACAAAAUGCUGGAGGACUGACCGUGUGUUGAGCUUUUCAUAGUAGAACCCCGCUGGGGAGCUGUGGGAGUUGAAUACCUUUCUAGACAACGUCGAGCACUGUUGCAAGUCCCCAGGGGCGGAGGAGAGAAAGGCUUGCAUCUUUACUGUGCGUCGGAUGUAUUUGGGUCUUCAACAUAUCAAGGGAAACAUCAAUGCCCAGCAAUGGAAACGCCUACAGAAAGUGGUGGAGACAGCCCAGUCCGUCACAGGAAAGGCCCUCCCCAGCACCGAGCACAUCUACAAGGAGCACUGUUUCAGGAAAGCAGCAUCCAUCAUCAAGGACCCCCACAACCGAGGCCAUGCUCACUUCUCAAAGCUGCCAUUGGGAAGGAGGUACAGGAGCUUCACGUCCCACACCACCAGGCUCCUGAACCAGAGGAGAUAUCUUCACCCACCUUGACUCUGAACUGAUUGCACAACCUACACACUCACUUUCUUGGUCUCAACAACCUAUGUUUUCAGCAUUAUUUAUUUUUAUUUUCAUGUAUUUGGACAGUUUGUCAGUCUUUCAGUUUUGCUACAGUUGGUGAAAGACAAGUGUGGAAAGGUCCCAGGAGAACCCUGCAUUCCAUACUGGAAAUCCCAGUGACAAAGGGACAAGUUGUGAAGCUAUAAGACAUGGGAGCAGAAUUCAGCCAUUCAGUCAUCGAGUCUGCCCCACUAUUCAAUCAUGAGGACUAUUUUUCUUCAACCCCAUUCUCUCUCCUUCUCCUCGUAACAAUUAAUUCCCUGAAUGGUCAAGAACCCAUCAAGCUCUGCCUUAAGUACAUCCUAAGAUUUGGCCUCCACAGCCAACUGUGGCAAUGAAUUCGACAGAUUGAUACCAAACUAAGUGGGGAAAGUGAGUCAUAAGCAAAGAGAAUCACAGAAUGAGCAGCAGGUAAAGUCAGAAAGAGUCAGGUUUAAUUUUAUUGACAUUUGUUUUGUGGCAGCAGUAUAGGGCAAUACAUAAUAUACAUAUAUGAAUUAAAGAGAGUGAAAAUAAUGAGGUAGUGUUCAUGGGUUCGUUAUCCCUUCAGAAAUCUGAUGGCAGAGGGGAAGAAGCUGUUCCUAAAACAUUGAGUGUGGGUCUUCAGGAGUCUGUACCUCCUCCCUGAUGGCAGAGGGGAAGAAGCUGUUCCUAAAACAUUGAGUGUGGGUCUUCAGGAGUCUGUACCUCCUCCCUGAUGGCAGAGGGGAAGAAGCUGUUCCUAAAACAUUGAGUGUGGGUCUUCAGGCUCCUGUACCUCCUCCCUGAUGGCAGAGGGCAAGAAGCUGUUGCUUAAUCGUUCAGUGUGUGUCUUCAGGCUCCUGUACCUCCUCCCUGAUGGCAGAGGGGAAGAAGUUGUUCCUAAAACAUUGAGUGUGGGUCUUCAGGAGUCUGUACCUCCUCCCUAAUGGUAGUAAUGAGAAAUGGGUUUCCCUCAUUGACCUAUUCCUCUCCACCACCAACCUGCUCCGUUUGGUGGAACUGAUCCCCACCUUCAACUGCUUCUCUUUCGGCUCCACCCUCUUUCUACAAACUCAUGGUGUAGCCAUGAGCAUGCAUGUAGGCCCCAGUUAUGCCUUUCUUUUUGUUGGCUAUGUAGAACAGUUCAUGUUUCAAGCCUUCCCUAGUAAUGCUCCUCAACUCUUCCUCUGCUACUUUGGCAGCUGCAUUGGUGCUGCUUCAUGCAGACCAUGCUGAGCUCUUCAAUUUCGUCAGCUCCCACCCUUAAACUCACUCGGACCAUCUCUGACCCCUCUCUCCCCUUUCAUGAUCUCUCUGUCUCUAGCUCUGGAGCCAAACUGUUUACCAACAUCUUUUAUAAAUGCACCCGUUCCUACGGUUAUCUUGACUCUACCCCUUCCCACUCUGACUCCUGUAAAAAUGUCAUUCCCUUUUCCCGAUUCCUUCACUCCACUCCACUCCACUGCAUCUGUUCCCAGGAUGAGACUUUCCUCUCCUCCUUCAGAAACUGGGGCUUUCCUCCCUCCACCAUUGAUGUUGCCCUCACCUGUAUCUCCUCCAUUUCCUGGACAUCUGUGCUCACCCCAUCUUCCCACCAACUUAACAGUGACAGAGUUCCUCUUGUCCUCACCUACCACCCCAUGAUCUUCCGCAUCCAACACAUCAUUCUCCACAAGUUCCACCAUCUCCAAAGGGAUCCUACCACUAAGCACAUCUUUAUUUACCGCACCCCCCCCCCCCGCAGGAUCGCUCCCUCUGUGAUUCCCUCGUCCAUUUGUCCAUCCACACACAUCUUCCUCCCACUACUUCUCCCUGCAAGCACCUGAAGGCUGACACCUGCACACUCACAUCCUCCCUCACCUCCAUUCAGUGCCACACACAGUCCCUCGAGGUGGGGAAAGCACUUCUAUCGAAUCCAGUGCUCUCGAUGUGUCCUCCUCUACACUGGUGAGACUUGACGUAGAUGGGGGUAUGGUUUUGUCAAGUACCUCCAAUCCAUUUGCAAAAAAAAAAUUCCUGGCAGCUAACCAUUUUAAUAUCUAUCCCCAUUCCAUUUCCGACAUGUUGGGCAACAGCAUCUUCUUCUCCCACGAUGAGGCUACUUCCAGCUUGGAGGAGCAACAGCUCAUGUUCCAUCAGGGUAGGCAUGAACAUCGAUCUCUCCAAUUCCUGGUAAUUUUUCCCCCUCACCCUUUCCUCUUCUUCAAUUCCCCAGCUUACCUCUUCUCCUCAUCUGCCUACCACCCCCCUGGUGCUCUCUCCUUCCCUUUCUCCCUCAGAUUCCUCCUCCUCCAACCAGCUACCAUUCCCAUCUAUCACCUCCCACUUCUACAUCAUUCCCCCCACACGUCUACCUGGCUUCAUCUCUAUUACCUUCUAGUCUUCCCUCCUUCCUCUACCCCAGCUUCUUAUUCCUUUCUGGUCCUGCUGAAGGGCCUUUUCCCAAAGCAUCGACUGUUUAUUCAUUUCCAUAGACCUGCCGAGUUCCUCCAGCAUUUUGUAUGUGUUGCUCUGGUUUACCAGCUUCUGCAGAAUCUCUUGUAUAAAUGCGAAGAGCGCAUGUCUUAGAUGAUGCCACCUUUUUGAGGCAUCACCUUAAGUAGAAUGUAGGUAAAUGAGCACUGAAAUGGGAGUAUUCGAAGAGGAGAGUGGUAGAUCAGUAAACUGGUUUAUUAUUGCCAUGAGUAUUGAGAAACUCUUGGUUUUGCUUUCCAUCCAUACCCAUUAAUUCAUCACAACAGAGCAUUGAUGAGGUACAGUGGAAAACAAUGACAGAAUGCAGGCUGAGGUGUUACAGAGAAAGUGCAGGUGCAAGUUCGUCAGCUGAAGAGUCCACCUUGGGGACCACUCAAUAGUCUUACAGCGGUGGGACAGAAGCUGUCCUUGGACCUUGUGCUACGUGUUUCAGGUGCUUGCAUCUUCUGCUCAACGGGAGAAGAGAGAAUGUCCAGGGUGAGUGGGGUCUUUGAUUACACUGGCUGCUUCACUGAGGCAGCGAGAAGUGUAGACAGUCCAUGGAGGAGAAGCUGGUUUCCGUGGUGUACUGAGCUUAGCACUUUAAAGCCAGGGUUUGCUCUGGGAGGGAAGAGAAGAGAGAAUGUCUGUGGGGGAGGGUUUUUUGAUUAUGUUGGUGGUGUAUCACCCUGGUUAAGAUUUUUACUGCUAUGCUGUAGGUAUUUCAUUUUAGCAGUUCUGUAAGAGUAGUGUGAUCUGCUUUUAGAAUAUUUUAGUUUUGGCUAAAAGAUAAUGGGCUAUGAUGUUCAACUUAGGAAUGUUGUGCCAGCUAGUCAGCGUGGUGGAAUUGGGAGAAGGUUCUACAGAGAGCUGGGCGGAGUGAGGUUUGUGACAGACAGUGUGUUUCACGGGUCUCUCUUUUGGCGGGAGCUGUGGAGAGGACAGGAUGGAAGAUGGCUGAGGAUGCUGUGGGAAGGAGCGUCCCUGUUGCACAAAGUGCAGGUGAAUGGCUCUGAGGAGGGGUCAAUACUCACAAGAGAAAGCCCACUUCAAGGUGGAUUUCGAGCCAUGUUCAGUGCUCUUGUGCAGAUCGUGGGUCCAGCGAAGAGUAAAAAGGUAACUUCAAGAUGUGCUCUAACUUUAUGUGCACAUUUGGACUGGGUUAACUGUAAUGAGCACUUUUUUUUUCUUUUUGUUUCCUACUAGCUGUUCGACAAAGCUGAAAUUUGUAAAUAUGCUUCCUUUAUAAUUUUAUGCAGUGCAAGAUCUAUUAUUUCUUGCCAACCAACAAUUGUGUUUGGACAGUAUUUACGCAUCUUCACUCAAAUCGAAGAUCUUUAAUCAGAACUUCAGGACAUUCCUGUUUGGUUGAACCACGUAUCAUACCGACCCUAGACGCCUAUCGUUUAUGAAAUGUGGACUUCUCACCGUUGAGUCUGUUAGCAGAGUGGCAAUGAGCCAAAUUUCCAUAUGAGCCCGAAGAGGAGACGACAGCGAGAAGUAUCAAGAAAAGACAGUGAGAAAUAUAGGCAGGUCAGUCCGAGUAUAUCCUGAUACGUGUUGGCAGUUCCCUAUGGAAUUCGCAGAGUUUGUUUCCAUAACUGUCAGAAAGCUUGGUGUGUCCAUGUGGGUGUGGAUACGGAGUACCAGGCUUUAUCAGAGCUGACCAGACCAUGACCCCCCGUGGGCGCUCCAACACUGGACUCCUCCUAGGGACAUUGCCAACUUUCGGGAAUGCUGGCCGUGGAGCCUGCACUUUCACCUUCCUGCAACAGGAUGCCAGCAGCCACACUAUUGUGGUGCAGAAGUAAGGGAGAGAGAUUCGUCACUCUCUGGCUGAAGAAACUCCUCACCACCCUUUUUCCGGAGGCCCCAUUGAUGGAAAUAUCCUCUCUGGAGGCAUCCAGGAAUUUCAGCAUUCGAUCGGAACAGGAAAGAUGGAGUUCACAAGGAUUGAGAGCAGUACCGUCUCUGUGAGAGCACCUCAGACAGGACACGCAGAUGUGACCUUGUUAGACCUGCAACUUACCCUUGCGUUGGAGGCAGUUCUGAAAAUGGAUUACAGGGUUGAUUAGGAAGUUGGGAGGGUUGUCCUUCGAUGAAAGAUUGGAGAGGGGCAGGCGGUAGUGAUGUCCUUUGGAUUUAAAAUGAGAAGUGACGUCACUGAAGUAGAUGAGGGUCUAAGGAACUGCAUCGCAGAACGAGCUGCAUCACUGUGUGGGAUGGAAACCGCACUGUGGCAGACAGGAAGGCUCUACAAUAGUGGGUUAAAACUGCCCAACGCAUCACCGGGGAAGAGGGGCAAAGGAGUGUGAAUACGCGCCAGCCUGUAUUAGGGCACUGGCAGUGGAAAGAGAGUCAGCAGCUUUAAGCUUCUGGGCGUCAACAUGUCGGACUACCUGUCCUGAGCUCAGCACGUGAAAGCAAUCAGAAGGAAAGCACCCGGAUGUCUUUAUUUCUUAGGAGAUUAAGAAGGUUCGGUUUUUCACCAAAUACCCUUAUAAACUUCUGAUGAAGUGCUGUUGGAAGUAUCCUGACUGGUUGUACCAUGGCCUGGUACAGCAUUUUGAAUGCACAGGAACGCAAGAAGCUUCAGGCAGUAGUGGACUCUGCCCAAUACAUCAUGAGCACCACCAUCAAUAGUAUCUACAGGAGGUACUGCAUCAAGAAGGCAACGUCCAUUAUCAAAGAUCUCCAGUUUCUGGGCAAUCUUGCUGCUACCAUAGGGCAGGGGUACAGAAACCUGAAGUCCUGCACCACCAGGUCCAAGAACAGCUUCAACCAUUUGGUUCUUGAACAACCCUGAUCUCUAUGGUUUAGCAACACAAUGACCACUCGAAUCACUCCACACUAAAAUGGAUUUCAUUCUUUGUUUCUGUUAUUUCUUGCCAAAAUUGUGUGUAAUUUAUAUUUACUUGUUCUACUUGUAAAUGCUGCUUCUCUGAUGCUAUUUUCCUGUGAUUUAAGUUCCUCAUUGUACCUGUGCAGGCAUGGGCUUGUGUAUUUGACAAUAAACUUGACUUUGACAUCCCAGGAAGCGACUCGGUGAAUCUUCUUCACACGGCCUCCAAAAUCAAUAUAUUCGCUCGUCAGGAAGGAGAUGAAACUCGUUGGCAGUACCCUGGACGUGGUCCCAACAAUGCUCUGUGUCUUCAAAUGAGUCAUCCUCACUCUGAUCAGAAUCAGGUAUGUCUUGUGAAAUUUGUUAAC